rnacentral:tRNA from 2 species
GGCGGGGUAGCUCAGUCGGUUAGAGCAGCGGAAUCAUAAUCCGCGUGUCGGGGGUUCGAAUCCCUCCCCCGCUACCA